rnacentral:rRNA from 1 species
AUUGAACGCUAGCGGGAUGCUUUACACAUGCAAGUUGAACGGCAGCGCGGACUUCGGUCUGGCGGCGAGUGGCGAACGGGUGAGUAAUGUAUCGGAACGUGCCCAGUAGCGGGGGAUAACUACGCGAAAGCGUAGCUAAUACCGCAUACGCCCUACGGGGGAAAGCAGGGGAUCGUAAGACCUUGCACUAUUGGAGCGGCCGAUAUCGGAUUAGCUAGUUGGUGAGGUAACGGCUCACCAAGGCGACGAUCCGUAGCUGGUUUGAGAGGACGACCAGCCACACUGGGACUGAGACACGGCCCAGACUCCUACGGGAGGCAGCAGUGGGGAAUUUUGGACAAUGGGGGCAACCCUGAUCCAGCCAUCCCGCGUGUGCGAUGAAGGCCUUCGGGUUGUAAAGCACUGUUGGCAGGAAAGAAACGUCGCGGGCUAAUACCCCGUGGAACUGACGGUACCUGCAGAAUAAGCACCGGCUAACUACGUG